GUGCCAGCCGCCGCGGUAAUACGGAGAGCACAAGCAUUAAUCGGAAUUAUUGGGCGUAAAGGGCGCGUAGGCGGGACAGUAAGUCAGAUGUGAAAUUCCGAAGCUCAACUUCGGAGCUGCAUUUGAAACUAUUGACCUAGAGGAUUGACGGAGAAAACGGAAUUCCACGUGUAGCGGUGAAAUGCGUAGAUAUGUGGAAGAACACCAGUGGCGAAAGCGGUUUUCUAGUUUUUACCUGACGCUGAGGCGCGAGAGCAAGGGGAGCAAACAGGAUUAGAAACCCUAGUAGUCC
rnacentral:rRNA from 1 species